rnacentral:rRNA from 1 species
AAACCACUCUCGGCAACGGAUAUCUUGGCUCCCACCACGAUGAAGAACGUAGCGAAAUGCGAUACUUGAUGUGAAUUGCAGAAUCCCGUGAAUCAUCGACUCUUUGAACGCAAGUUGCGCCUGAGGCCAUUUGGCUGAGGGCACAUCUGCCUGGGCGUCACGCUAUGCGUCGC